rnacentral:rRNA from 1 species
GGCUCAGGAUGAACGCUAGCUACAGGCUUAACACAUGCAAGUCAGGGGCAGCAUUAUCGAAGCUUGCUUUGAUAGAUGGCGACCGGCGCACGGGUGAGUAACGCGUAUCCAACCUUCCCCAUAGUCAGGAAUAGCCCGGCGAAAGUCGAAUUAAUGCCUGANGUUUUCCACGGACGGCAUCUGAUGUGGAACAAAGAUUCAUCGCUAUGGGAUGGGGGAUGCGUCUGAUUAGCUUGUUGGCGGGGUAACGGCCCACCAAGGCAACGAUCAGUAGGGGUUCUGAGAGGAAGGUCCCCCACACUGGAACUGAGACACGGUCCAAACUCCUACGGGAGGCAGCAGUGAGGAAUAUUGGUCAAUGGGCGGAAGCCUGAACCAGCCAAGUAGCGUGAGGGAUGACUGCCCUAUGGGUUGUAAACCUCUUUAUAAGGGAAUAAAAUACGGGACGUGUCCUGUUUUGCAUGUACCUUAUGAAUAAGGACCGGCUAAUUCCGUG